UGGGGAAUAUUGGGCAAUGGGCGAAAGCCUGACCCAGCAACGCCGCGUGAAGGAAGAAGGCCCUCGGGUUGUAAACUUCUUUUGUCAGGGACGAAGAAAGUGACGGUACCUGACGAAUAAGCCACGGCUAACUACGUGCCAGCAGCCGCGGUAAUACGUAGGUGGCGAGCGUUAUCCGGAUUUACUGGGUGUAAAGGGCGUGUAGGCGGGAGUGCAAGUCAGAUGUGAAAAUUAUGGGCUCAACCCAUAACCUGCAUUUGAAACUGUAUUUCUUGAGUGAUGGAGAGGCAGGCGGAAUUCCGUGUGUAGCGGUGAAAUGCGUAGAUAUACGGAGGAACACCAGUGGCGAAGGCGGCCUGCUGGACAUUAACUGACGCUGAGGCGCGAAAGCGUGGGGAGCAAACAGG
rnacentral:rRNA from 2 species